rnacentral:misc_RNA from 1 species
GAUGAAGAACGCAGCGAAAUGCGAUAAGUAAUGUGAAUUGCAGAAUUCAGUGAACCAUCGAAUCUUUGAACGCACAUUGCGCCCGGCAGUAAUCUGCCGGGCAUGCCUGUCCGAGCGUCAUUUCUGCCCUCGAGCGCGUCCAGCCUUUCGGGGCUGCGACCGCCCGGCGUUGGGGCGCUACAGGGAGCCUUCUGGCUAUCCCCCGUAGGCCCCGAAAUGAAGUGGCGGUCCUGCCGCGGCGCCCCCUGCGUAGUAUUACAGCUCGCAUCGGGUCCCGGUGGAGGCCAGCCGUCAAACCUUACUUUCUAAGUUUGACCUCGGAUCAGGUAGGGUUACCCGCUGAACUUAAGCAUAUCAAUAAGCGGAGGA